rnacentral:rRNA from 1 species
CACUGGGACUGAGGACGGCCCAGACUCCAACGGGAGGCAGCACUGCUACAUUUUCCACCAUGGGCGAAAGCCUGACGGAGCAAUACAGCGUGAGGGAGGAAGGCUCUUGGGUCGAAAACCUCUUUUCUCAUGGAAAAACACAUUGACGGUACCUGAGGAAUAGCCAUCGGCUAACUCCGAGCUACCAGCCGCGGUAAUACCGAGGAUGUUCGCGUUGUCCGGAUUUACUGGGCGUAAAGAGCGCGUAGGCGGUUCGAUAAGUGUGAAGCUAAGUCUCUUGGCUCANCCAAUAAACUAUUUCGCAUACUGACGGGCUGUAGUGAUGCCGAGGCGGAUAGAAUUCCCGGUGUAGCGGGUGAAAUGCGUUGAUAUCGGGAGGAAUACCCGAGGAGAANGCUGUCCACUGGGCAUCAACUGACGCUGAGGCGCAAAAGCGUGUGUAGCAACAGGAUUAGAUACCCUGGUAGUCACGUCCUAAACGAUAGAUGCUAAGCGUAUGAGGUAUCGACCCCUCCUGUGCC